AUACGAGGGGUGCAAGCGUUAAUCGGAAUUACUGGGCGUAAAGCGUUCGUAGGCGGUUAUUUAGGCAAGAUGUGAAAGCCAGGGCUCAACCUUGGAACUGCAUUUUGAACUGGGUAACUAGAGUACUGUAGAGGGUGGUGGAAUUUCCAGUGUAGCGGUGAAAUGCGUAGAGAUUGGAAGGAACAUCAGUGGCGAAGGCGGCCACCUGGACAGAUACUGACGCUGAGGAACGAAAGCGGGGGGAGCGAACAGGAUUAGAAACCCUAGUAGUCC
rnacentral:rRNA from 1 species